UGGAAAAGUCAGUCAAAGAGGGUAAAAACCCCGUAGAUGAAAUUUGGAAGGCACCUAGGAGGAUCCUGAGUACGGCGGAACACGAGGAAUUCCGUCGGAAUCCGGGAGGACCAUCUCCCAAGGCUAAAUACUCCCUAGUGACCGAUAGUGAACCAGUACCGUGAGGGAAAGGUGAAAAGCACCCCGGAAGGGGAGUGAAAUAGAACCUGAAACCGUGUGCCUACAACAAGUCAAAGCCCGUUAAUGGGUGAUGGCGUGCCUUUUGUAGAAUGAACCGGCGAGUUACGAUUGCAUGCGAGGUUAAGUUGAAGAGACGGAGCCGCAGCGAAAGCGAGUCUGAAUAGGGCGUUUGAGUAUGUAGUCGUAGACCCGAAACCAUGUGAUCUACCCAUGUCCAGGUUGAAGGUGCGGUAAAACGCACUGGAGGACCGAACCCACGUACGUUGAAAAGUGCGGGGAUGAGGUGUGGGUAGCGGAGAAAUUCCAAACGAACUUGGAGAUAGCUGGUUCUCUCCGAAAUAGCUUUAGGGCUAGCCUCGGAAUUGAGAAUGAUGGAGGUAGAGCACUGUUUGGACUAGGGGCCCAUCUCGGGUUACCGAAUUCAGAUAAACUCCGAAUGCCAUUCAUUCAUAUCCGGGAGUCAGACUGUGAGUGAUAAGAUCCAUAGUCGAAAGGGAAACAGCCCAGACCACCAGCUAAGGUCCCAAAAUAUAUGUUAAGUGGAAAAGGAUGUGGGGUUGCACAGACAACUAGGAUGUUGGCUUAGAAGCAGCCACCAUUUAAAGAGUGCGUAAUAGCUCACUAGUCGAGUGACCCUGCGCCGAAAAUGUACCGGGGCUAAACAUAUUACCGAAGCUGUGGAGUACACCUUUAGGUGUAUUGGUAGGAGAGCGUUCUAAGGGCGUUGAAGGCAGAUCGUGAGGACUGUUGGAGCGCUUAGAAGUGAGAAUGCCGGUAUGAGUAGCGAAAGACAGGUGAGAAUCCUGUCCACCGAAUGACUAAGGUUUCCUGGGGAAGGCUCGUCCGCC
rnacentral:rRNA from 1 species